UCCACUGGAAAAAAAGAAAGCCGAAAUGAAUGCCAGAUAUAGGUGCAGCAAAGCUUCAUGAAUAGAGUGCAUUAGGAGAAACAACAAAAAUACCAUGACAAUAUGCAUGUGUCUGUGGAAAAUUAUUUACUGAUGCAACUACGCUGCUCCUUUUCGUGCAAAAAAAAAAAAAAGAAAUAAAAAUUCUAUGCCCUUGACUGCUGAUCUAUAGUUAUGGCUCCAAAAAUACUUGUGCUAUUCCAAUAGCAUGAUGAAAUUCUACAUUUUUCACUUGUCUUAUUCAAAAUAUUACGUCUUCACCAAUUUAUUUAAAUUUUCCUUUAAGUUCUUGAUGGAGGACCAUAUAAUAAGAUGUCUAGGUGCACUUCUGCUAGAUGCAGAUAUUGAAAUUUAAAAAAUAUAUUUUAUUUAAAAAUUAAAUAUAUAUAUAUAUAUAUAUAUAUAUAUAUAUAUAUAUAUAUUUAUAUGGACUAUUGGGCUAGAAUUUUAUGAGAAUUUUAGUAUUUUAUUUCUAUGUGGACAGUUAGUAGAAUUUUUGGUUGUCUAUAUAAAUCUAUUGUUGUGUUAAUUAAGAAUAUAGUUUGCAUUAUUGAGAUUUGAGAAUAUAGAACAUUGAGUUGCUCUCACUCUCUACCUUCUUCCACUCUUUUCUUUCCUCUUCUUCUCCUCUUCCUAUCCUACAUCACUUUGGUAUCAGAGCUUAUUCUAUCCUACGUCAAUUUGAUUUCAGAGCCAUUCCUAACCCACCACCACUACCGCAUCCUUGUCUCUCCAUCAAUGCCAGCCCUAGCAACCUCUCAAACCACCCUCCCGAGAUCCACCAUCCACACCGCACCACAACGACAUUGGAAAUAAAACAAAAAAGGAAGAAAAAAGGGGAAGAAAAAGGGAGAAAAAAUAAAGAAAAUAAAGGGAAAAAACAAGAGAGAAAAAAAAGAAGAAAAGGGAAAGGAAAGAAAAAGAGAAAAAAAAUGGAGCUCGAUCUCUUCCAUAAUCUUUUAUUGCUCCCACCUCCAUCAUAGCCACUGGUGGCCUGCUGCCCUUUUGCGCGAGUCUUCUCUCACUCACAACCAUACCGGACUCCCACACCAAUCAGACACCCGAACAUGUCGCCUUAUCUGUUGGAACCGGCUUAUUAUCCCUCGAACCCAUCUCCAUCACCUACUUGAGCUUGUACACUGAGAACCAUGCCUUUUGCUACCUCCCACUGGCUUCCCAUGAGAACAUCGACUCCAUGCAAUGUCACCGUCUCCUUAUGCCUCUACUUUGGCUAUCGUUGUCGUGGCUAGAAGCUUUGAAGGUCUCCCUUUCACUGUUUCAAGUCGUCACUGUCCUAGGCUAAUUGCUAUUCCUAGCUCAAUCUCCACCGCUGAGAGGCCUCCACUACCAUCCUCACAUAAUUUCACCACCACCUGCUCGGGCACCGCAUCCCCAUGAUUAGGGAUUUGGACUUGAAGCCUCACAAUUCAGGUUCAAACCCAUCAGAUCCAACCCGUUUCAACUUGAUCCGACAUGUGGAUUCAAUAUAAUCCGAUCCAGGCCGUUUUGGCCCUAAUUAGACCCAUCGUUACCAAUUAGAUCAGGAUCCAGUCAGUGCUAUGUCAAUUUCCUGCUAGUGGUACUACGUCAGCAUCCACUCAACACCAUGUCAGCACUCAGUGCCACACCAGCAUCCACUUAGCACUAUGUCAGCAGCUGCAGAAUUUUCUAGAAGCUUAUCCCUAGCUAAUUUUGAUGUGUCGAUUUCGAUUUUGGUGUCUAUUUCUGCAAAUUCUACCUUUAUAAUAGUUUUCUUUGCUAUAAAUUGAAGUAGUGAUUUAAAGUGCUAUUUGUGAGGUAAGAACUUUCCCUUUGAAAACUUGAUUGAUAUUUAUUUGAUUCAGUGAUUAGUAAAUUGCUUUAGUUCUGGGUUUAAUUUAAUCUCUUUUCUUCCACAAAAGAAAACCCUAUAAUCUGGUUCGUUGCGCCUAACCCUUUUUGCAUCCAACUUUCUAAUUUAUUGCAUCUACCCUAGUUUCUGGAGUUUGGCAUAUCAUUUGCAUUAAACAUACUAGUCUUGUGUGUGUUCAUCGUCGUGGUUUAUGAUUUAUACUUAUUGCAACUUUUAGUCUAUCUCUAUAUACUUUCAUUGCCCUACAUUUGAGUACAUCACACUAUGACCAAGAACAAGUAGAGUGACUAUGCAUCCACAAUGGACAAAACUACCACAAAUGUUGUUCCCUCCACUUGUACACUAUAAGUUGACCCUCAAGCCUUUAUGAACUCUCUAGACCAGAAUUUGAGCGAAUGAGUCAACAAUAUGAGCAAUUAAGUUAGCAGGUAGCUCAAGCACUAAGAGGUCUAGAGGUAGACGAGUCUGUUAUGCAAUACGAUGGAUCCCCUCAUUCAGUUAGGUCAGUCCAGGGUAACCUCCACACUUCCGGAUUAGUAGCAGCUACUGAUUGGAAGAGUUUUGCCCCUAGACAUGCUACUAGAGUCUUACCUAGUGAUCCUCAUUAUAAUAUAGAGUCUAGGUUUGAUGAGGAUGUAAAUAAGGAGUAUGAUUUUAUAGAAGAACAGAAGAUCCCUAGGCAUCCGCAAAGACAGGACCAUAGGCAGCCAGUCCAUGACUGUCCAGGAGGAGUCUAUCAUAGGCCAGUUGAUCAGUGUGCUAGAUAUCCUAAUAGGUUAAUAGGCAUUUCCCUCUAUCUCAUAUAUAUAACCAGGAGGGCAUUGAUGGCAUUAGUAGGUUGGUUAAGGUAGAUAUGUGAUCUUAUGAUGGUAAACUAGACCUUGACACCUUGCUAGAUUAGUUUGAUGAGCUUGAGGAUUAUUUUCAUUGGUUGAUAUGACUAAUAGAGAGAGUUUGUUUUACUAAGAUGAAGUUGGUAGGAGUUGCUAAAAAAUGUUGGAAGAGUGUAUAACAAAACCUUCAACGUCUAGAUGAACCACUUAUCACCCAAUAGGCAAGUCAUGAGAUAGAAGUUAAUGGAGAAAUAUUUACCUUCCUACUAUAGGAAUCAAUUGUUUGAUCAGCUUCUAAACCAUAGGCAAACCUCAAUUAUGUCCAAAUAUAUGGAAAGAUUUGAUGAGCUUAUGCUUAGGACCAGAAUACAGGAAGAUCCAUUUCAUGCAAUUAGGAGGUUUAUCAAUGGGUUUAGGGAAGAUAUAAAGAAGAAAAUAGAGUUAUAUGCUUUUAAAUUCUUUAGAGGAGGCCUAUCAAAAGACAAUCACUAUAGAGAAGUAUCUUAAGACUCCUCCUCAGCAUAGGUUCAUCAGUCUAUACCUAUUUCCUCAUCGAGAUCUGCUACCUAGUCUAGGGUUGCUUCUUAAAUAGCUUCUAGGGAUAGUAUUGCUAGAAAUAGGGAACCUCGAUCUGUUACUUAUCCUAUUGGCUCCAUAGGUGAUCCCCGUCCUAGUGGUUCUUUAGUGCAGUGUGAUCACUAUUAUAAUAGAGGUUACAAGACUAUACAUCCUUAGCAAGCUUUAGCUUUUGAGCAAAAGUCUAAUAAUCUACAAGAGGUUGAGGACUAGGAAGUGGAUCCCGUAAGAUAUUUAGAGGUAGAGGACCACCAUUGUAAUGUUGUGACGCCCACUAUUGCGGAUAGUGAUACCAGAAAGCAUACUAGUAUCUUUCACCCCUUCAUUAGAUGCAAUGAGAGAUCUGGUAAGUUGGUCAUUGAUGGGGGAAGUUCCAUGAAUCUGGUUUCUAUGGUUGCUAUAGCUAAAUUCAACCUUGAGGUAGAGCCACACCCUAAGCUUUUUAAGGUAGCCUAGGUUAAGACAACCUUGCCUAUAACUAAGAGAUGUCUAGUGCCUAUUAAAAUGAAAAAUUAUGAAAAUGAGGUGUUCCAUGAUGUGUUACCUAUUGAUGUAGCAUAUAUUUGUUAAGAUGCCUAGGGCCUUAAUGACUUAGAUGUGACUAACCAUGGUAGGGAGAACACCUAUAUGUUAAGAGCAAGAAUAUCAUCUUGAUCCCGCCGAAGCCUCACAUAGAGAGUCUAGACUUAAGAAUAAGCCACUGCCUUGGGUUCCAGUUAGAAAGAGUAUCUAUAUCUUCAACCAUAAAUUUAAGCGCAAAAUUUGAUUACAAAUUUGCUAUUGAUGUUCAUCAUAGGACUGAGGAAUUUAAUAUAGAAGAUAAUGUUAUGGUUCGCGUUCAUUCAGAACGUGUCUAAU